rnacentral:misc_RNA from 1 species
GAAAUGCGAUAAGUAGUGUGAAUUGCAGAAUUUAGCGAAUCAUCGAAUCUUUGAACGCACAUUGCGCCCCUUGGUAUUCCAUGGGGCAUGCCUGUUCGAGCGUCAUUUCAACCCUCAAGCACUGCUUGGUGUUGGGCGUUUGUCCCGCCUACGCGCGUGGAUUCGCCUCAAAGUCAUUGGCAGCUGUUCCCCUUCGGCUCGUAAGCGCAGCACAGUCGGCGCCCGGAGCUCUGGUGGGAUGGCGUCCAGCAAGCUAUAUUUUCAGGCUUGACCUCGGAUCAGGUAGGGAUACCCGCUGAACUUAAGC